AGAAUGGACUCAACACGUUGACUCAUCAACUCCAGCCUGAGGGACUCAUUACCUCAAAAUUCUCAUCUUCUGUCGUUUCUCUAUAUUGAACUGAAGAAGUCACUGGUUGGCUUCUUUAGUUCAGUGUGUCUUAUUUAUCACCACGUAGGUUGUAGCUCUGGGUCUUGUAUCACCUGCUGUGAUAUACUUUACUGUAGGUUGUAGCUCUGGGUCUUGUAUCACCUGCUGUGAUAUACUUUACUGUAGGUUGUAGCUCUGGGUCUUGUAUCACCUGCUGUGAUAUACUUUACUGUAGGUUGUAGCUCUGGGUCUUGUAUCACCUGCUGUGAUAUACUUUACUGCAGGUUGUAGCUCUGGGUCUUAUAUCACCUGCUGUGAUCUACUUUACUGUAGGUUGUAGCUCUGGGUCUUAGAUCUCCUGCUAGUGAUCUACUUUACUGUAGGUUGUAGCUCUGGGUCUUAGAUCUUAUUACAACCUAGGAAUCCAAAGGCCUGUUAUCCUGAGUGUAAAGGAAGCAAAAUAAACACAGCAGAAAA